AACUGUGGUCGUCCUUCUCGCGCUGAGAAGUCUGUGGCGCCGAAAGAUGCGAGUGCCCGUGUGAAGGAGAACGUCGGCCUGCCCUCCUCUCAAAAGACUUCUGCGACACGGGGGAAGCAGCAGGCUCGGGCACCACCGACGGGGACAUGCGAGCCGCCAGCUGACCCUGAGCAAGGUAAAGUAUAAAGGCUCGAUGUAGGCCGUAGUAGUCUUGGCGCCAACGGUUGUGAUGGUGAUGCUCGGGUCUCACUACCUAUCGCGGUACUACCAAACGGCUGCCGACGUUACCUUUGUGUUUCUCUGGUGUUCUCAGACCCAGGACCCUCCACCUCCGCCCAGGCUCAGGGCGCCGCCCGCCCCGCCCGCUACCCGAAGAGGGCCGCCAGUCGGGGCAAGGUUUACACGGAGUCCCCCGCGCUGGACGCCGACGAUUUCUUGUUUUGCGACGACUGCGACAGGGAGUGGGAGGGCGACUGCCCCGAGCACGGACCUCUCCACACCAUCGAGGACGCAGAGGUACCCGACGCCCACCCCGAGCGAGCGCUGAAGAGUGUGCCCAGUUGCCUGGCCGUGCUCGAGAGCAAGAUCACCGGCGCAGGCCUGGGCGUCUGGACCAAGCAGGCCAUCCCGCGCCGAGUGCGCUUCGGACCGUACGUCGGGGACAUCACCAAGAAGAUGCAGACGGGCUACGGC